ACUCCUCCGGGAAACCCGCUGGAGAGCGCCGCCGCCGCCGCCGCCCCCGAGGUGGCCCCUGCCCAGCAUGCGCAGCCCCGCCCUGCAGCCAGUGCCCCAGGAAGAACCUGCUUUUCCAGCCAGGGAGGCCUGGCGUGGUGGUGCUGGCCCAAGACCUCCUCAAUGAAAGGCUGCAUUAAAAAACCUGCUUCCCAACGGCAGGGCGGUGCCUUGCCCUUCCUCUCCUCGGGUCGAGCUCCCGUGGCUCUGACAGCACCACGAUGGGCAAAAAUUCAACAGGUGAAGUGUUUUGCACCGCUGCACCCGAACGCCACUUGAAUUCGGAUUCAAUGGCAGUGCCCCCCGCCCCUUUUUAUUUGCCUGUCAUCUAGGUGGAGCCCUGCGUGGGGGCGGGGGAGAGGUAGCAAGCAACCCUUUUCGCAUGUUAUGCAUUUCCAACAUAGAAGCCUGACUGUAUAGGAUACCGUUUGAAGCAGGUAAAUUGUCACUUCCCUGAUCCACCCCCCCGCCCCUUUCCAUUUCUUUAUUUUUCAGGGAUUGCGAACCUUGAUCUGCCGAGAGAGAGCCAAAUAAUUGAUUAUGUAGUAAACAUUGUCUCCUUUUAAACUUUCUCUGCCCCCAGAGGCAUAACUAGGGAAAACAGCGCCGGGGCAAGCACUGAAAUGGCACCCCCCCCGUGCCCCAACAUACUACAUUAUACUUAGGUUUUUCCUCACAAGCGCCCGCCGCCGCCAAGCCAGGCCACUGACUGGCCGCCAGGCGCCAGCAAAGCAAUGGGGGGGCGCGGGCGGUGCGGAAGGGACUGCUCAUGGGGGAGGGGGCGCCGACGCGCUCCCUUGACUGCUGCAGCGCUGCUGCACUGAGCAGGAAACAUUUGUAUUAACAAAAAAUUAAAAACAAAAUUAAUUUUUUUUUGUCAUGGCGGCGCCCCCCACGUGACCAGAAAAGAUGGCGCCCGGGGCACGUGCCCCCCCUGCCCCCCUAUAGUUACGCCUCUGUCUGCCCCUUUAUUCAACAGAGCUCUUAAAUCUGUAUUAGUACACCGAGCAAGGGGUUGGUUGGUUGGUUAUUUAUUAUAUUUCUAUACCGCCGACAUGUGCAUCCCUUGGCCGUGUACAUAAGUUAAAAUACAAUACAAAGACUGGAUAAAUGAUUAAAGCAAUUGAUAUAAAAUCAAUUAAGAGUCUGAGAAAACAGGUGCGUCCUAAGGGUCUUUUUAAAAACAGCCAGAGAUGGAGAAACUCUGACUUUAACAGAGAGUGCAUUCCAGAUAGGGAUGUCCACAGAACUAGCGACUGCUGGUUCGGGGCGGGGGGACUUUAAGGACUGGGGAGGGUGCUCUGCUCCCCCGCUGCAUUUCCCCCGCCAGUGCUGUUCUCAAAAACGGUCCUGCCAGGGCAGCAGCAUACCCCCAUGCCACCCCGGUACAUCGCAGACUGGAAGUGGCCGCUGCACAUGCACAUGUUGCGACGUGUGCAUACGCAGCAGCCACUUCUGGCCACUGCUGGAGGCAUCCUGCCCUCCCUCAGAGAAGCAUUUAUAAUACUCACCAGACCCUCUCUAAUAAUAUAAUUAUUGGAUGAGAUAAGCCAAGUUGGGCAAGAGUCAAGAGAACAGGUUGUAGGAUGUACAGUCCAAAGCAGUUUCUCCACUUCCUCAGGAGUUACAAACUGGAAAUGACCCAAUCUAAUCCCAUAAGAGGAGUUGCUGGACACCUCCACAGUAGACUCUGCAGUAACUGUGGAAUCCAACUUGGCCGGAGUAUGAGGAAUUUAUCCGCAAAAAAAGUCAUUAAAAACAUCACAGUGAGUAACUGAUGGUUCAAAGUUUAAAUUCAAGGGGUGGGGGGGGGGGAAAUACUAACCCCCUCAUAACCCUAGACAACUCAGCUGGACAUGAAUUUGCAGAUGUGAUGUGGGCACAAAAGAACUGCUGCUUUGCCACCCACUCUGCCAGAGCAUAAGUCUUCAGAUGUGCUCUGUGUUGUGCCCAAUCAGACUCGCACUGAGUAUUCCUCUUCUAGUCAUUUACCUCGCUGCUUCAACUCCUGUAGUUCUUCUGAAUACCAUGGGGCUGUCAUUAAAGCAAGUCGGAGAGGACGCUUAGGAACUAUUGUGUCUACUGCUCUACGUGUGGCUGGCCAACCUAAGGCUUUCUCCAAUAAAUUGCAGCUGGGGAUUAUGGGAGUUGUGAAAGCUGGACUUUGAAGAAGCAAGAUAGGAAAACCAUUGAUGCUUUUGAACUUUGGUGCUGGAGAAGACUUUUGAUGAUACCAUGGACAGCCAGGGGAACAAACAAAUGGAUCAUAGAACAAAUCAAUCCAGACUUUUCACUCAAGGCACAAAUGACCAGGCUCAAACUAUCAUACUUUAGACACAUUAUGUGAAGACCCAGCUCCCUUAAGAAGUCCAUAAUGCUGGGGAAAGUUGAAGGAAAGAGAAGAAGAGGAUGACCAGCAGCAAGGUGGAUGGACUCAGUUACGACAGCCAUGAAUGCACCACUGAGACACCUUAAAGGCCAAGUUGGACAGAUAUCCUGGAGACAAUCUAUCUAUGUGGUCGCUAAGAGUUGACACUGACUUGAUAGCACUUAAUCAAUCAAGUCCAGCAACAACUGCAGAGCCUCACUCAGAUUUGCCACCUCUGCUAUAAUGCAUUGGGCUCUGCACUCAGUUCACCUCAUUUUAUUUUCCAUCAUUGAUAUGCUAUCUCCUUAUGCAUUUGCCUGCAUAUGUAAUACUAUGCAAACAGCAAAUGAACAUUGAACUUCUAACAAGAAUAAAGCACCUGAAGUGAGCAUAUGGUGGGUAUUCUAUGAAAAAAUUAACUCUCAAAAGCUAGGAUUAUUCCUGCCAUCAAAAUGGAUUAUUCCUUCCAUUUUUGUUGUAAACUGUCCAGAGACAUAAGUUUUGGGUGGUAUAAAAAUACAUUAAACAAAUAAAAUAAAAUAAAAUAAAAUAAAAUAAAAUAAAAUGGAAUUGCAUAGUAGGAGGGGAAGAACUGGCACGGGUGGAUCUACCUGGAUUCUCGGUUUUGAAAGAACAGAAUCUGCCCUUUAGACACCCACUUGCAGUGUAAAUUUGUGCCUUUAUUGCAUAAAUAAAAUGUAAAUGUUUGCAUAAAACUGAAUUCUACCCUGGACUUAAUUUAUCUGUAUAAACACUUUGUUUAGCCUGGUACACUCAGAACUCAAAAUUCACUUUGUAACUAUUCAAAUAACACAAAAGAUAAUGUGGCUGCUUUUAAAACCACAAUUGAAAACACUUUUAUUUGUUCAAGCUUUUACCCUUUAGGGGUUGCCAGUCUCUUCUUUCUGGCUGCUCUGUUGUGUUUUUAUGGCUAGUGUUUUUUGUAUGUUUGUGGUUUUAAUUGAUUUUAAUAUUUUAAUGUGGUUUUAUGGAAUGUUAUUGUAUUAACUUUUGUAAAGCGCCUUGGGAUAAUUUUAUGAAAGGGGAUAUACAUCAAUCUAACAAUAAAAUUAAAAGAGUGUGUUGAUUUGA